UAUCUCUGUAGAGUCUGCAUAUCAAUAAGCGGAGGAAAAGAAACUAACAAGGAUUCCCCUAGUAACGGCGAGUGAAGCGGGAAGAGCUCAAAUUUGAAAUCUUCAAGGUUCUACCUUGACGAAUUGUAGUUUAAGGAAGUGUUUUCGGUUAGAGGAGUAGUAAAAGUUCUUUGGAAUAGGACAUCAUAGAGGGUGAGAAUCCCGUAUUUGACUAUUCUUUCUAGCUUUGUGAUACACUUUCAAAGAGUCGGAUUGUUUGGGAAUGCAGUCCAAAAUGGGUGGUAAAUUUCAUCUAAAGCUAAAUAUUGGCGAGAGACCGAUAGCGAACAAGUACCGUGAGGGAAAGAUGAAAAGAACUUUGAAAAGAGAGUUAAACAGUACGUGAAAUUGUCAAAAGGGAAGCGUUUGACACCAGUGUUGUUUUUCCGAAAAUCAAUUAAAAAUUGAUUCAUGCCAGGUUGUAUUGACCUUAUCAGCUUGCAAUUUGGUUUUGGGUCUCUUUUUGAUGCACUUUUCGGUUAACAAGUCAACAUCAAUUUCCUUUGCUGUAAAAAGGUAAGAGGAAGGUGGCUUCAAUUUCGGUUGAAGUGUUUAUAGCCUUUUAUCUCUGCAGUCGGGGAGAUUGAGGUCUGCAGCGUAGAUCCUUCGGGGCUAGAUACAUUUAUGCUAAGUUAUAGCUUUUCAUAGACAACUUGUUGACUAUGUUUAGUCAUGUAGCUUAUUCGUAAGUGCUAUUUUACCUACGCUUAGGAUGUUGAGCGCAUGUCUCUCUCU
rnacentral:rRNA from 1 species